AAUGAACGCUGGCGGCAUGCCUUACACAUGCAAGUCGAACGGCAGCAUGACCUAGCUUGCUAGGUUGAUGGCGAGUGGCGAACGGGUGAGUAAUGCAUCGGAACGUGCCUUUUAGUGGGGGAUAACGUAGCGAAAGUUACGCUAAUACCGCAUAUUCUCUGAGGAGGAAAGCAGGGGGCCUUCGGGCCUUGCGCUAGAAGAGCGGCCGAUGUCGGAUUAGCUAGUUGGUGAGGUAAAGGCUCACCAAGGCAACGAUCCGUAGCGGGUCUGAGAGGAUGAUCCGCCACACUGGGACUGGGACACGGCCCAGACUCCUACGGGAGGCAGCAGUGGGGAAUUUUGGACAAUGGGCGCAAGCCUGAUCCAGCCAUGCCGCGUGAGUGAAGAAGGCCUUCGGGUUGUAAAGCUCUUUCGGCUGGGAAGAAAUCGCACUCUCUAAUACAGGGUGUGGAUGACGGUACCAGCAUAAGAAGCACCGGCUAACUACGUG
rnacentral:rRNA from 1 species